rnacentral:rRNA from 1 species
GACGAACGCUGGCGGCGUGCUUAACACAUGCAAGUCGAACGGAAAGUCCCUGCUUUUUUGGGGUGCUCGAGUUGCGAACGGGUGAGUAACACUUGAGUACCCUGCCCUUGACUUUGGGAUAACUUCAGGACACUGGGGCUAAUACCGCAUAGGAGCUCCUGCUGCAUGGUGGGGGUUGGAAAGUUUCGGCGGUUGGGGAUGGACUCGCGGCUUAUCAGCUUGUUGGUGGGGUAGUGUCUUACCAAGGCUUUGACGGGUAGCCGGGCUGAGAGGGUGACCUGAUACACUGGGCCGGGGAUACGGCACAGACCAGUAUGGGAGGCAGGAGAGGGGAAGGGUAUAUAAGGGGCGGAAGGCUGGUGCAGCCAAGCAGUGCGGGGGAUGACAGCAUUCGGGUUGUAAAGUGCUUUUGUUUUUGCCGAGGCGUGAGUGACGGUAAUGGGUAAAGAAGCACCGGCUAACUACGUG